UACGGGGGGGGCAAGCGUUGUCCGGAAUCAUUGGGCGUAAAGAGCGUGUAGGCGGCCCGAUAAGUCCGCUGUGAAAGUCCAGGGCUCAACCCUGGAAUGCCGGUGGAUACUGUCGGGCUCGAGUUCGGAAGAGGUGAGUGGAAUUCCUGGUGUAGCGGUGAAAUGCGUAGAUAUGUGGAGGAACACCGAUGGCGAAGGCAGCCCCCUGGGUUAACACUGACGCUCAUGCACGAAAGCGUGGGGAGCAAACAGG
rnacentral:rRNA from 1 species